rnacentral:rRNA from 1 species
GACGAACGCUGGCGGCGUGCUUAACACAUGCAAGUCGAACGGAAAGGCCCUGCUUGUAGGGUACUCGAGUGGCGAACGGGUGAGUAACAAGUGGGUGAUCUGCCCUGCACUUCGGGUUAAGCCAGGGAAACUGGGUCUAAUACCGGAUAGGAGCUAUUUUUAGCGUGAUGGUUGGAAAGUUUUUUGGGUUCAGGAUGAGUUCGAGGCCUAUCAGCUUGUUGGGGGGGUAAUGGCGUACCAAGGCGGCGGCGGGUAGCCGGACUGCGGGGGUGGACGGCCAUAUAGAGUCCGAGAGGCGGCCCAGAUACCGACGGGAGGCAGCAGGGGGGAAUACUGAACAAGGGGCGCAGGCCGGAUGCUGCGACGCCGCGUGGGGGAUGACGGCCUUCGUGUUGAAAACUCCUUGCGCUAGGGACGAAGCUUUUUGUGACGGUACCUAGAUAGGAAGCACCGGCUAACUACGUG